rnacentral:sRNA from 4 species
GCGCGGGCCGUGUCAACCGGACGCGACAGGGAUGGCGAACGCAGCGGUUUUUCCGGUUUCUCGCUGCGGCCAACGAAAUGGCAGUCGAGCGUCCAACCUGUCCGGCAU